rnacentral:lncRNA from 1 species
AUGCAGCACAACAAUGACGUUCUUCUGAGGAACCACCUAAAGCACUAGUCCGGUGCCGUGUGUCAUCGGCGCAACUCCUUUCCGCAAAUGGUCGCUUUGGGCGACAAAAGUGGUUUACUUCAA